rnacentral:tRNA from 1 species
GGACACGUGCCUGAAUAAAGGGUCACCUUGAUAGGGUGAACAACAGAGGCUAAAAUCCUCUCGUCUCCU